ensembl:misc_RNA Metazoa_SRP Metazoan signal recognition particle RNA
CCUGGGAGUGGUAGGCACCUGUAGUCCCAACUACUUGGGAGGUUGAGGGAGGAGGAUCACAUGAGCCCAGGAGCUCUGGGCUGUAGUGUGCUGUGUCAGUUGGGUGUCCACACUAAGACUGGCAUCAGUAUGGUGAUCUUCUAGGAGCAAAUGACUACCAUGUUGCCUAAGGAGGGGCGGACCAGCCCACACUGGCAACAGAGCAGGUCAAAACUCCUUUGCUAAUCAGUAGUGAGAUCGUGCCUGUGAAUAGUCACUGCACUCCAUCCUGGGCAACAGGGUGGGAGCUUUUCUAUA